UACGAAGGGGGCUAGCGUUGCUCGGAAUCACUGGGCGUAAAGGGUGCGUAGGCGGGUCUUUAAGUCAGGGGUGAAAUCCUGGAGCUCAACUCCAGAACUGCCUUUGAUACUGAGGAUCUUGAGUUCGGGAGAGGUGAGUGGAACUGCGAGUGUAGAGGUGAAAUUCGUAGAUAUUCGCAAGAACGCCAGUGGCGAAGGCGGCUCGCUGGCCCGAUACUGACGCUGAGGCACGAAAGCGUGGGGAGCAAACAGG
rnacentral:rRNA from 1 species